CCUACGGGAGGCAGCAGUAGGGAAUAUUGCUCAAUGGGGGAAACCCUGAAGCAGCAACGCCGCGUGGAGGAUGAAGGCUUUCGGAUUGUAAACUUCUUUUAUCAGAGAAGAAACUGACGGCAUUUGAUGAAUAAGCACCGGCUAACUCCGUGCCAGCAGCCGCGGUAAUACGGAGGGUGCAAGCGUUAUUCGGAUUCACUGGGCGUAAAGGGCGCGUAGGCGGGAUAGCAAGUCAGAUGUGAAAUCCUCGGGCUUAACCACAGAACUGCAUUUGAAACUGUGAUUCUAGAGUGCUGGAGAGGUAGGUGGAAUUCUUGGUGUAGCGGUGAAAUGCGUAGAUAUCAAGAGGAACACUCAUUGCGAAGGCGACCUGCUGGACUGUAACUGACGCUGAGGCGCGAAAGCGUGGGGAGCAAACAGGAUUAGAUACCCUUGUAGUC
rnacentral:rRNA from 1 species